GUCCCUGUAACAUGAGGCAUAACGCGUUGGACUUACAAUCCAACGGUCGUGGGUUCCAAUUCCACCUGGAAUG